UCUGAACGCAUCCCGGAUCAGUCAGGAACUCUUCAUCCUUUUAAGCAUAUGCGCAUGCGUGAUUCAUAACCGGUUCGGAAUUUAUUUCAAACGCGAACGAUCCACGGACUGUCAACUCUAAUUUUGUUUGGGUUAGUAUAGGUUAUGUUUUUCGAUUGUUUUGUUUAGGAAGGAGUUUUUUUUUUAAAUUUUAACAGUGAAGAUUUAAAGCAAAAAAAAAAAUGGCUAAUGUGAAUUAUGAAGAAGAGUUAUCCCACUUCUUACAAUUUAAUGCGUCUGGCUCUGCCCCAUCGACUUCUGGCCACCCCAUUCAGGUGGAACCAUCAAAACACUUUGUUUUUGGAAAUAUAUAAAAAAUAUAAAUCUGUGGUUGGCUCUUUCAGUAUUAAAAGCUUUAAAAAAAAUAUAUGAGGAGAUUGCUAAAGAGCUCAGAAAAAAGUUAAUGUCAUAGCUGGAAAAUUAAUGCAAAAAAAAUUGGAAAAUUAAACAAAUUAAUGUCAUAGCUGAAUACUGUGAGAAUAGGUGGAAGGUACUGGAAAGGGUAUAAAAAAUUUGUUGGCAACAACAGGCAGACAGGCAGGGGAAGACAGGAUUUUGAAUAUGCCGAUGUUAUGGAAGCAAUCCUGGGACAUAGGAAAAAAUAUCAAUCCAAUAAUUUUGCUUUCAAGUGAAACAGUUUCCCACCCUAAAACUGUUGAAGAAAACACAGAAAAUGACGACCCACUUAAAGCUGAUUUACAAGGUAUUGAGAUUCCCAGUAGUCUGCCACAAAGUUUAGUAAAGAACAAACUCACUCAAAAGUUCCCAAAUAGGAAACUCAAAAGUAAUAUUACAAAAAAGGCGAGAAAUAGAAGAAAAGAAAUCUGCAGAAAAAAAAAGAAAAAAUUAUUUACUUCAAGAGAGGAACCAACUGUUGAAGCAACAUUUAAAAAAUAAUAUUAAUAUUGAUACCAUUCAUUUUAGUACCUAGCUCUUGUUAUUUUUUUUUCUAGUUUUGAAGUUUUUUUUUGAGUUUUCUUUAGAAAUUUAAACUUUUUGUUUGUUAUUUACUUUAAAUUUAUCUACUUUUGUUUUUUUUUUUUAAUUUCUAUAUGUACUGUGAUAUCAGAUAAUAUACGUACCUGA